GACGAACGCUGGCGGCGUGCCUAAUACAUGCAAGUCGAACGAACAGUUCCUGCGUUUGCCUUUUUCUCGAUUGGGGCGGGGGGGUGUGUAACGUGUGGGAACCCCACCUUAACGUCUGGAAUAAUCCGGGAAAACAGGGGCAAACCGGGGAUAACAUCUAGAACCAUAUUGUUCUUCAGUGAAUGAUGGUUUUGCGAGCUCUUAUCGGUGGCUCCGCGCUGGAUUAGCUGGUUGGUAAGGUAACGGCUUACCAAGGCAACGAUGCGUAGCCGACCUGAGAGGGUGAUCGGCCACACUGGAACUGAGACACGGUCCAGACUCCUACGGGAGGCAGCAGUAGGGAAUCUUCGGCAAUGGGCGAAAGUCUGACGGAGCAACGCCGCGUGAGUGAUGAAGGUCUUCGGAUCGUAAAACUCUGUUAUUAGGGAAGAACAAAUGUGUAAGUAACUGAGCACGGCUUGACGGUACCUAAUCAGAAAGCCACGGCUAACUACGUG
rnacentral:rRNA from 1 species